GUUUGACCAUGGGAAGUUCUUACUGGAAGACCAGAUUUACUUACCAAAAAGUCAUUCAGAAAGACAAUUGCUUCCAUUUUGGGAUCUUUCAUCAUGCUAGUUGUUUCUUUUCUGAAAAUGCAUAAAUGUCAGAAAAUGUUACGUUGAUUAAAGGCAACAGAAACAAAAUUCUAAACAACUGCAAAUGGGCAGCGGGGGACAAAGGAAUUGAUGAGGAAGUGACAGCAUUAAGUUACUUGAGAUGGGGGCUUAGCAACUGGUUUCAUUGAGACUCUAUAGAUGAAUUGUCUACACUGAACAAUCCUAAUGACAUUGGCUUUGCUUCAUGUUUGUAAAUAAAAUGUACAGCAUUAUUUUAUCUUGAAUAAAUGA
rnacentral:lncRNA from 1 species